ACAUCUUUUUAGCCAAUUUAUUAAUUUAUUAUCUCUCUCUUGCGCACUCUCGCGUGUGGCUGUGUGCAUUCGCGUCUCUCUCUCUCUCUCUCUCUCUCUCUCUCUCUCUCUAUCUCUCUCUCUCUCUCUCUCUCUCUCUCUCUCUCUCUCUCUCUCUCUGUGUGUGCGCGUAGUUGUGUAGUCUCUCUCUUUCAGUGCGCGAGGAAGCGCCAGAGAGUCGCGGGCGGAGCGGAAGGGACUCUGCGGGAUUUGAGCGCUGAUCUCCGGCAGCAGAUCUCUCUGUGAUCGCGCUUCUGCUGCUGGAAACACCGGAGCACCGGUCACCACUCACCGGGAGUUACGGGAGAGAAGCGCGGGAUGGUGGACAACAACAAAACACAGAUGGAGGGUCUUUCUUCGGGCCUGAAGCUGGAGGCGAUGUUGGAGCAUCUCCAUCAGCAGCAGCAGGAGCGUCUGCACAGUGAGCAGCAGCAGCGGCGGCUCCGCGAGGCUCACUUCUUCUACACGCAGCAGCUUGCGGCUCAGCAGGCCAUACUAGCGGCCGCCCGCGCCUCUGGAGCCGCACUCAUCAACACACAUGCCUCACUGCUCUCCAGCAGUGUGGACUCUGAGCGUGAGGAUGAGGAGGAGCGGGGCCGAGACUCCGCCGAGGAUGAAGAUGAAGAUGAUGAAGACAGUGAGGAAGACGAGCUCGACUUCCUUCGUAAGCAGAGUUUGGCGCUCCAGCAGAGAGAUACAGCUGUUUCUGGCAGCCGGUCAGGCCCCGGGGCCCCUGGAGCUACAGUCAGGGUUAAAGAGGAGCCCGAGGAGGAGCCGAGCCCUGCUGACCGGCCCUCAGAUACAUCUCCAAAUGGCCCUGCGGACUGGAGCUAUGAGGAGCCAUUUAAAGCGUGUAUAAUGACGGCUCGGGUUGCGAAGCUGAAGGGGGAAGUGCGGCAACUCUUUUAAUGAUGUCUCUGUGAGCUUUAAUGACAGCUGCUGUAAAUUCCUUCCUCAAGCUCAGAGUAUGCAGACGUUAUCUCCUGCUGCUUCACUGCUUUAACACACAUCAGAUCUCGUUCACAGUUACUAAACUGCUCAACAUACUUGUGCAGUGUUGAACUAUAUAUAUUGAACUAAAUUGGCUGUAGUGUACGAGUGUGUGUGUGUGAGUGUUUCCCAGUGUUGGGUUGCAGCUGGAAGGGCCUCCGCUGUGUUAAGUAUAUGCUGGAAUAACUGGCGGUUCAUUCUGCUGUGGCGACCCCUGAUUAAUAAGAGACUAAGCUGAAGGAAAAUGAAUGAAUGAAUGUGUAGUGUGUGUAUGUCUGUAAGUGUGUGUGUUUUAGCGUGUGUGUCUAUACAUAUAUGUGUGUGUCUGUAUGUGUAUAUGCACGUGUGCGUCUGUGUGAACGGCUGGUGUGUGUUUUGUCAGUGAUGUGUGUGAUCUGACCUGUGUUGUUGAACAGUGGUGUGUGUGUGUGUGUGUGUGUGUGUGUGUGUGUGUGUGUGUGGCUCCAGGGCCGCAGUGGGACAUUCAGACCUGCUGACCCCAAUAAUCCUCCAGUGUGUCCCCGGGGUCCACAGGGGCCUCCGACAUCUGCUAAUCCCUCUGUGAUUAAUAGAGGAUUAAUGACACUCAACACACACACACACACACACACACACAUGUGUGUGUGUGUGUGUGUGUGUGUGUGUGUGUUGUGUAUCAGGAAUGAUUGUCCUCAUGUACUCCUGCGAUAUAGAUGCUCUGUGGAUCCUCAUGUGGGCUUCAGGAUUCGGUUAUGCUUCAUUCACUGUGAAGCUCACCGUUAUGUCAGUCAGCUCACAGGACUUAUAAUAAUCCAGAUAAUAUUAUUGCUCUCCAUUAACAGACAUGCUCUGUCUUUUAUUUACUGAUAAUAAGCCUGUCUGUCAGUUAUUGUGUGUCAUUCAAACACUAGCUCUACACUGAUGUUGGUGAAUGAGCAGCGGGUUCUGCUGUUCUGACGUCAGCUGAGGAUUUUUACAAGAGGAUUUCUGAGACUCUCCGUGUUUGAUCUUCCUUAUACAUAUGAUUAUGCUGUCGAACUGUUGUAUAAACGCAAUAUCACACGAGUAGCAGUGCAAUAUGGCUGUAUAUUGUCACUGGUGGGACCCUAAGGUAAUAUAUAUAUAUAUAUAUAUA
rnacentral:lncRNA from 1 species